rnacentral:rRNA from 1 species
UAGGGAAUCUUCGGCAAUGGACGGAAGUCUGACCGAGCAACGCCGCGUGAGUGAAGAAGGUUUUCGGAUCGUAAAGCUCUGUUGUAAGAGAAGAACGAGUGUGAGAGUGGAAAGUUCACACUGUGACGGUAUCUUACCAGAAAGGGACGGCUAACUACGUGCCAGCAGCCGCGGUAAUACGUAGGUCCCGAGCGUUGUCCGGAUUUAUUGGGCGUAAAGCGAGCGCAGGCGGUUAGAUAAGUCUGAAGUUAAAGGCUGUGGCUUAACCAUAGUACGCUUUGGAAACUGUUUAACUUGAGUGCAAGAGGGGAGAGUGGAAUUCCAUGUGUAGCGGUGAAAUGCGUAGAUAUAUGGAGGAACACCGGUGGCGAAAGCGGCUCUCUGGCUUGUAACUGACGCUGAGGCUCGAAAGCGUGGGGAGCGAACAGGAUUAGAUACCCUGGUAGUCCACGCCGUAAACGAUGAGUGCUAGGUGUUAGGCCCUUUCCGGGGCCUAGUGCCGUAGCUAACGCAUUAAGCACUCCGCCUGGGGAGUACGACCGCAAGGUUG